AUCAUGUUGCACUUGGCUUGGAGACUACGCUACCGGUAUUAGAUCAAGAGGAACAAGGGCAAGUCGAGGAACUCCUUGCCCAAGGUUCAAGCUUGAUGUGAAUUGUCAUGAUCCUACUCUAUGUGAUGGACAAGAGUUUGUGUCAAUUUGUGGAAGGGUAUUCCUUAUUUGAGCAAGAAUGAUGUGUUAAUGGUUGUUGAUGGUCUUCCCUUGUAUGAUCUUGAGGUACGCGCGGACUGGAUUUGAGGACAAAUCCUUCAAAAGAAGGAGGGGAUAAUGUGAAUCCGGGUGUCCCACAGAAGGAUUGAAGAACCGGAUUUGAGGACAAAUCCUUUCGCAAAGAAGGAGAGGAUGAUGUGAAUUCGGGUAUUCACAAUCAUAGGAUACAACGACAUCGAGGGCCAUGGGUUGAUUGUGGUCCGAGAAGAAGGUGGAGACAUGGCAAGGAGCCAAUCCGGAUUUGGAGGUCUGAUUCAAACCAGAAUUUUCUUUUGAAGAUAAAGUCCAAAUCCUCUCCUAAGACUACCAUUGUCUGCAUCGUCGAAAUAGCUUCGCGUGAGUAUCUUACACUCCUCAAUCGGAUCCCGGAUGAGGAAGCUAUGGUCGUUUUAAGAAAGCCGCGCAAUGCAGAACGAAACGCGCGGUCGGGCGAUUUUGCAAUGGGAAAACGCCCGACCGGGCGUUUUGCAUGAGGAAAAAUGCCCGACCGGGCUUUUUGCGCGACUUGCAUUUUUGGACUCUUUUUGUGUCUUUUAUUUAGCACAUUUUUUUUCUCUUGUAUAAAUACCCAUGUCUAAGG